ensembl:rRNA 5S_rRNA 5S ribosomal RNA
AACUUCGGCCAUGCCACCCUAAACACACCUGAUCAAGUCUGAUCUCGGAAGUUAAGCAUGGUCAAGGCUGGUUAGUACUUGGAUGGGAGACUGCCUAGGAAUACCGGGUACUGUAGGCU